GGCUCGGUAGUCAAGUGGUUAAGACAUUGCCCUUUCACGGCAAAGACAGGAGUUCAAUUCUCCUUCGAGCUA
rnacentral:tRNA from 1 species